CAAGGUUUCCGUAGGUGAACCUGCGGAAGGAUCAUUAUUGAAUUCACUAACAAGGUUGUUGCUGGCUCCUCUGGGGCAUGUGCACGCCUUGUAAGUCAUUUCUACCACCUGUGAACCUUUUGUAGUCUCGGGGAAUGCUAAAGCUCAAAGGAAACUUUGGAUUUGAAUGCUGCAGGCUUGAAAAAGUCGGCUUCAUUCUACAGCUGAACCUGGGUCUAUGCUUUAUAUACCCCAAUUGUAUGUCUAUGAAUGUAAUUGAAGGGCUUUAACGCCUUUAAAUUUAUACAACUUUCAGCAACGGAUCUCUUGGCUCUCGCAUCGAUGAAGAACGCAGCGAAAUGCGAUAAGUAAUGUGAAUUGCAGAAUUCAGUGAAUCAUCGAAUCUUUGAACGCACCUUGCGCCCCUUGGUAUUCCGAGGGGCAUGCCUGUUUGAGUGUCAUUAAAUUCUCAACCUUAGAAGGCUUUUGAAGUCGUCUUAAGGCUUGGAUAUGGAGGCUGCGGGCUUGUUUCAAGUCGGCUCCUCUUAAAUGCAUUAGCUGGGUUUGCGCCUUCAGCCUAUUGGUGUGAUAAUAUCUACGCCUCUUGGGUCGUUAGCGUGUUUACUUCUCCAGCUUCUAACCGUCCUUUACCGGACAAUACUUGACCAUUUGACCUCAAAUCAGGUAGGACUACCCGCUGAACUU
rnacentral:rRNA from 1 species